CGUACAUAUGUAUACACAUCAUAAUCUGAAAAUGAUUGGAGGUGAUUCUCUCUAGACUUCGAAAACGUGGAGAUCUACCGACAACACAACUUUAAUUUUCGGGAUUCACCAUAUAACGCACGUUCUUCUCAACGUA
rnacentral:lncRNA from 1 species